UGGGGAAUCUUAGACAAUGGGGGCAACCCUGAUCUAGCCAUGCCGCGUGAGUGAAGAAGGUCUUAGGAUCGUAAAGCUCUUUCGCCAGGGAUGAUAAUGACAGUACCUGGUAAAGAAACCCCGGCUAACUCCGUGCCAGCAGCCGCGGUAAUACGGAGGGGGUUAGCGUUGUUCGGAAUUACUGGGCGUAAAGCGCGCGUAGGCGGAUCAGAAAGUUGGGGGUGAAAUCCCAGGGCUCAACCCUGGAACUGCCUCCAAAACUCCUGGUCUUGAGUUCGAGAGAGGUGAGUGGAACUCCGAGUGUAGAAGUGAAAUUCGUAGAUAUUCGGAAGAACACCAGUGGCGAAGGCGGCUCACUGGCUCGAUACUGACGCUGAGGUGCGAA
rnacentral:rRNA from 1 species